ensembl:lncRNA
AUGAAUGUUGUGUCCUGUGUGAGGUCAGUCACUCAGUGCUUGGGAGAGGGGUGGACUCAAGGCCUCAGACCAGGAGGAGAGAGGAGACCCCAGCACAGUGAGGUCAUGCUUUCAGAGUUGAAAGACCUGGGUUUUACUCCCGAGUAUGGCAACUUCAAACUGCAAGACCUUGGAAAAGAAGGCGCCCUCUCCAACCCUUCAUGUAAAAUGAGGCCUACGAUCACUGCCCUGGGUGCCUCUCAGACCACAGUGAAGAAUCAAAUAAAACAAUGCAAGAGAAGUACUAUUAGGAGAUCGACAGUGACUGCAACUACUCCUGUUAUCACUUCCUACUAUUACUCCUGCUACGGCCAACAGCAGUGGCCAAGCCCUGAGCAGCUGCUUCAGGGGCCAGACAUUGUCUCACUGACUUCCAAUAUAAAGACUCUUUAUACUUGAAAAUAUGUGAAAGCAUAAAAAUAAUUUUAAAUUAUAUAUUUGUGUUGGUUACAAUAGUGUUUAAAUACAUUUUAAAAUGUCCCAUGUACAAUUUACUUUCUAUCAAAAAAUGCUUGGGUAUAGAUGAAAAAACAACAAACAAAUGCUUGGCAUCCUUCUGGAUUUACAGCCCUCCUGUAACAACAACUGUAGUUUCUCUCAUUCAACUAAAUCAUCUAAAUAAUCCUAUGAUGUGGGUCGUUUCCCCAUUUUACAGAUGAAAAUAAUGAGGAUCAGCAAUACCACAGACUUAGGAAAUGGUGGAGCCAAGAUCCAAUAACAGAUUGACUCCAAAUUUUGUGCCCUUCCCACUGCACUACACCAAACAUCUUCCAAACCUAGAAGAAGUUCAGCACAUCUUCACCUUAGAUGGGGCCUUCCCAGGUGGCACUGGUAGUAAAGAACAUGCUUGCCAAUGCAGGAGACAUAAGAGAUGCAGGUUCAAUCCCUGGGUUGGGAAGAUCCCCUGGAGAAGGACCUGAAAACCCACUCCAUUAUUCUUGCCUGGAGAAUCCCAUGGACAGAGGAGCCUGGUGGGCUAUAGUCCAUAGUGUCAAAAAGAGUUGGACACGACUGAAGUGACUUAGCACACAUGCUCGAAGCUUAGAUGAUUGAUUUGACACUUUCCCUCUUUUCUAAUGUGUGUAUUAGUGUUAUGAAUUUCCCUGUAAACACUGCUUUAAAAAAACUAAACUACAGUUGAUUUACAACAUCAUCUUUGUUUCCGGUAUACAACAGCAACUCAACAUUUUUAUAGAUUAUACGCCAUUUAACAUCACCACAAAAUAGUGAUUAUAUUGUGCUGUACAUACCUCCCUCUAGCCUAUUCAUUUUUUCAGUGGUCCUUCUAAUUUAUUUUUAAAUUUAUUUUUAAUUGGAGGACAAUUGCUUUCCAAUAUUGUGUUGACUACUGCCAUAUAUCAGCGUGAAUUGGCCAAUGUCCCCUCCCUCUUGAACCUCCCCCGACGCCUUCAGUCUAUUACAGAGCACGGACUGAGCUCCCUGCAUCACAUAGCCAGUUCCCCCUCCGUAUCUGUUUUACCUAUGGUGAUGUACAGGUUCAUGUUCUGAUGCUACUCUCUCAGUUCGUCUCACCUUCUCCAUUCAUCUCAUGACAGCAGUUUGUACCUCUCAAUCCCUAAUCCCACCUCACCUCUCCCCACUGGUAAUCACCAGCCUGUUCUCUGUAUCUGGGAGUCUGCUUCUGUUUUACUGUGCCACAUUUUAAUUACAUUUAGUUUCAAAUAGUUUUAAAAUCUCCUUGAGCGUUCCUCUUUGAUUUAUGGAUUAUUUAGAACUAUGUUAAUUAGUUUCAACUUUGGGGCAUUUUCCUGUUUUCUUUCUGUCACUGAUUACCAGUUUGAGUUCCUUGGGGAUUACACGCUGUAUUUUUUCAGUUCUUUUAGUCUGUUGAGAUUUAUUUUACGGAGCAGGAUAAGAUCUACUGAUACCUUUGUUUAAUGGACACUUGAAAAGUAUACAUAUUUUGCUAUUAUUGGGUGGAGUAUUAUACAAACAGUGAUUAGGUUCUGUGUUUUGAUGGUGUUGCUGAGUUCUCCAUCCUUUCUGAUUUCAUACCUAGUUGUUCCAUCAAUUGUUAAGAGAAGGAUGCGAAAUCUCCAACUGUAAUUAUGGGUUUGUCCACUACUCCUUUCAGUGCUAUUUGUUCUUGCUUUGCAUAAUUUGCAUUGUUUGGUGCACACACAUUUAGGAUUUCCACGUCUCCUUGGUAGACUGACCCUCUUAUUAUAACUUAAUGUCCAUAGCUGAUUCUGGUAAUUUUAUUUGCUCUGAAGUCUACUUUAUCCUAUAUUGAUAUAGUCACUCAUACAUUUUACUUAAUGUUUGCAUGAUAAAUAUUUUCACAUCAUUUUGCUUUCAACCUGUUUACAUCAUAUUUAAGUGAGUGUCUUAUGGACAUUAUGUAGUUGAUUUUUUUUUUUUUUUUUUUUACUUCACUCUGCUAAUCUGCCUUUAUAUUGAUGUAGUCAAUCUAUUUACAUUUAAUGUAAAUACUAAUGUUAGGACUUAAGUCUUUCAUUUUAUCUUUUGUUGCCUGUUUCUUCUCUCUGAUUCUCACUUCUCUUUUCUUUCUCCUGCUUUCCUAUGGGUUACUAACCCAUUCUUUAGGUUUCCAUUUUUAUUUACCUAUCUUGGCUUCUUGUGUAUCUUCUUGUGCUUAGGGGCUUCCCAGAUGGUGCUAGUGGUAAAGAACCCUCCUGCCAACUCAGGGGACGAAAGAGACACUAUAUAUACGUGACACCACAGUCUACUGGUGCCAUAAUUUUACCAAUUCAAGUAAGUGUAAAACCUUACUCCUUUUAUAUCUGUUUACCUCCCUUCUUUAAUUAUACUUUUCUUAGAUAUUUUCUCUACAUACUUAGAACCACAUCAGAAGUGUUAUAAUUUGUGCUUCAAUCAUAUAACCUAACUUAGAAGAUUAAAGAAGAGUCUUUGCCCUCAUAUUAUUGCUUACCGUGCUUUUUUCCUCUUCCUGAUAUUCCAAGAUUCCUUUGUGCAUUUUUUCCUUCUGUUAAAGAACCUCCUUUAGCCAUUCUUUUAGGCUAGGGCCUGCUGGUGACAAAUUACCUUAGUUUUACUUCAUAUGAGAAUAUCUUCAUGUUCCCUCCAUCCCUGAAGGAUAUUUUCCUUGGAUAAAAUAUUCAAGGAAUAUUCUGGGUUAACAUCCUUCAGCACUUGAGAAACUGUGCCAGUUCGUUCUGACCUCCAUGGUUUCUAAUAAGAAACCCACUACCAUUGAACUCUUCUCUUCCUACAGGUAAAAGAUUGUUUCUCUCUGUGGUUUUAAGAUUUUUUUUUCCUGUUUUUAGCUUUCUGAAGUUUUACUAAGAUAUGUCCUAGUGUGAUUUUGGUUUUAUCCUGUUUAGCAUUCACUUAUUUUCUUGAAUCUGUGGGGUUUUAUAUUUUGCCAAAUUUGGGGGAUUUUCAGUCAGUUCUUUGAGUACUUUCUCAGUUCAGUUCAGUCGCUCAGUAGUAUCUGACUCUGCAACCCUAUGGACUGCAGCACACCAGGCUUCCCUGUCCAUCACCAAUUCCUGGAGCUUGCUCAAACUCAUGUUCAUCGAGUCUGUGAUGCCAUCCAACCAUCUUAUCCUCUGUCGUCCCCUUCUCUUCCUGCCCUCAAUCUUUCCCAGCAUCAGGGUCUUUUCAGUGAGUCAGUUCUUCACAUCAGGUGACCAAAGUAU